CCUACGGGAGGCAGCAGUAAGGAAUAUUGGUCAAUGGAGGCAACUCUGAACCAGCCAUGCCGCGUGCAGGAAGACUGCCCUAUGGGUUGUAAACUGCUUUUAUCCGGGAAUAAACCUGCUUACGUGUAAGUAGCUGAAUGUACCGGAAGAAUAAGGAUCGGCUAACUCCGUGCCAGCAGCCGCGGUAAUACGGAGGAUCCAAGCGUUAUCCGGAUUUAUUGGGUUUAAAGGGUGCGUAGGCGGCCUGUUAAGUCAGGGGUGAAAGACGGUAGCUCAACUAUCGCAGUGCCCUUGAUACUGAUGGGCUUGAAUGGACUAGAGGUAGGCGGAAUGAGACAAGUAGCGGUGAAAUGCAUAGAUAUGUCUCAGAACACCGAUUGCGAAGGCAGCUUACUAUGGUCUUAUUGACGCUGAGGCACGAAAGCGUGGGGAUCAAACAGGAUUAGAUACCCUGGUAGUCCACGCCCUAAACGAUGAACACUCGCUGUUGGCGAUACACAGUCAGCGGCUAAGCGAAAGCGUUAAGUGUUCCACCUGGGGAGUACGCCCGCAAGGGUGAAACUCAAAGGAAAUUGACGG
rnacentral:rRNA from 1 species